rnacentral:lncRNA from 1 species
GGCAACUCCAGGCAAAAGCAGCACCUGGAGUUGUUCAUUGAGUGGAAUAGGGAUCCACCUCAGAUUCUCCUGGAGCACCUGCUCAUUUUUUAUCUUCCUCCAUCCAAAGGCAAAAGAUGGUCUUCUAAACCAGAAAGAGAGGGGAGGCAAGUUCUGUCUUUUUCUCACACUCCAGGAAAUUGAAUUUACCAUAGGACCAUACCAAUGAAUGGAUGGGCUGUGCAGAUCAGGGAGGUUUAGGGUGGUCAGAUGCAAGAGAUUUCCUGAAUCUUUAAUAAUCAUGCAGAAGAGUGAAUUUCAGCAAGUAGAGCUUGUUGUGUAAGCAAUAGCUGUGGAACUCCCUGUUUUGCAGUCCUCUUUUGUAUCUGGCUACCCUAGAUACAAAAGAGGACUGUGGGUGGCGCUGUGGGUUAAACCACAGAGCCUAGGACUUGCCGAUCAGAAGGUUGGCAGUUCAAAUCCCCGCAACAGGGUGAGCUCCUGUUGCUCGGUCCCAGUUCCUGCCAACCUAGCAGUUCAAAAGCACGUCAAAGUGCAAGUAGAUAAAUAGGUACUGCUCCAGCGGGAAGGUAAAUGGCGUUUCUGUGCGCUGCUCUGGUUCGCCAGAAGCGGCUUAGUCAUACUAGCCACAUGACCCGGAAGCUCCCUCAGCCAAUAAAGCGAGAUGAGCACCGCAACCCCAGAGUCAGUCACGACUGGACCAAAUGGUCAGGGGUCCCUUUACCUUUACCUUACCCUAGAUAAAGCUCAGUUCUCAAUGGCUGCCCAUUGGGUUCUAUUGGCUAAAAUGAACCAGCUGUAGUCUGGUGUGCAGCUGGAGGGAUUCCGGAGAAAUUUGUCUGAAACCUCUGCCCCAGGCACUGUGACUCGUCCUUCUGCUAUUCAUCUUAAAGGUGGACAUCUCACAAGGUGUGCAACUUAUAUGGAACAAAAGGAUCUACCGUACUCUAAUCAUAGCUGUCAACUUUUCCCUUUUCUUGCGAGGAAUCCUAUUCAGAAUAAGGGAAUUUCCCUUAAAGAAAGGGAAACGUUGACAGCUAUGACUCUAAUACAAGUGUGGGGACCCAAGCAACUCUGGUUGCUGCUCAGGUGCAAUGCCCAUUAGCAAGCAUGACAGAUGGUCAGAGAUGAUCAGAGCUGCAGCUCAGCAACAGGUAGCAGGGGUCAGCAACCUUUUUCAGCCGUGGGCCUGGUCCACCGUCCCUCAGACCUUGUAGGGGGCCGGACUAUAUUUUGAAAAAAAUAAUGAACGAAUUCCUAUGCCCCACAAAUAACCCAGAGAUGCAUUUUAAAUAAAAGGACACAUUCUACUCAUGUAAAAACACACUGAUUCCCGGACCAUCCACGGGCCGGAUUGAGAAGGCGAAUGGACCGCAUCUGGCCCCUGGGCCUUAGGUUGCCUACCCCUGAGCUAGAGAGCCAAAGGCUCCCCAUACAGGCUCUGAAGGAAGAGAGGCAACAUUAACAGAGACCAGAAGACAAAACUGCAUGCUCUCUAAGAAAAUUGGUUCGCUCAUUGGCGGGAGGGCGGUGAAGUGGCUGCCUCAGGCGGCAGAUGUGCAAGAGGUGGCACCACACCUGCCCCACUGCUUCUGCCACUGGAAGAAUGCCCCCUCUUGCAGGGAGCAUUCUGGCACAUGGCAUUGCCACUCAUCUCCCCUGGCCCUUGGACAGAGAAGACAAGCGUCAAGGCCUAGUGGAAUGCUCCCCCUCUUGCCAAAUUCAGCCAGAGUGGGGGAGUUCCAGCGCAAAGUGGAAAUAGAGGGUGCCUCGGGUGGCAAAAUGGGAUGGGCUGCUGCUAAAGUUCAUCAUACUUAGGCCCACUCCCAUUAAUGAUGAUAAUAAUAAUAAUAAUAAUAAUAAUAAUAAUAAUAAUAAAAAAUUUUUAUUUAUAUCCUGCCCUCCCCAGCCAAGGUAGGGCUCAGAGCGGCUAACAACAAGAAAAGUAACACAGCAUACUAAAAUCAAUUCAUUUUAAAAUCAAUUCAAAAUCAAAUUAAUGGCAACCAUUGGGCUAGAGCUCUGUGAGGAUUACCAAAGGAGGGGGUCAGACUGUGCCUUGGCCAAAGGCCUGGUGGAACAGCUCUGUCUUGCAGGCCCUGCAGAAAGAUGUCAAGUCCCGCAGGACCCUAGUCUCUCGUCACAGAGCGUUCCACCAGAUCAGGGCCACAGCCGAAAAAGCCCUGGCUCUGGUUGAGGCCAGCCUAACCUCCCUGUGGCCCAGGACCUCCAAGACUAGGCACCACCCAUAGCACCAACAGCUUGUCCCAAGUAGGUUUAGCUAGUCAGACAGUGAACCAGGUAGCUAUUGCAGGUAUAAUCCUGCUCUCUUUUUCAGCUCCAAAAGAUCUGAGAACUUGCUUAGAGGGCUUUCUCUCCUCCUGUAUGAUUUAUGCAGUCGUGAUAUGGACAGGGCAGAGCACGACUGCAAAGCAAGCUGCACCAUAUUAAAGCUGCCAGCCAGAGACAGAUGUAAUUGUUAGCAUGAUGGCAACCUGAAGCAGGAUAAAUUAUGCAGCAAUACAUAUUCAGGACACACAGUUGUGCGUACAUAAAUAUGAAUGGCCACCGUUGAAAGGAAAACAUGAAUAAUUUAAAGAAUAGGCAUUCACCAAAAGGGAGGAGGGGUACUAGCAAAACAAUUGAUGAUGAUGAUGUAUUUUCUUAUUCAUCCAUAAAAGCACCAAUUUGUCAAACGUGAAGAGACCUUUCCACAUAGCAAGAAUCGUAUCUGAUAUUGAAACACAAAAUAUUUAGCCCACAACUUAUUUCCCUAUUAUUUAAAUCUAUUAUGCUAGACAUUGCACAGAACAGAGAUUUGGCAUUGUACUUUCAAAAAGUGUUUGAUAAACAACCUCCCCUAAACUCCCUGCAUAAGCUUGGCAGUAAUGGACUAAAAGGAGAAGUGUGCUUUGUGCAUCAGUAACUGGUUAAGAAGCAGAAACUAGGAAUAAAUGGAGAGGGACGUAGAAAGUCAGCUCCUCCAACAAAUCAUACUUGGACCUGCACUUUUUAAUUUGUUAAUGAUCUAGAGUUAGGGGUGAGCAGUGAUGUAGUCAAAUUUGCUGAUGGCACCAAAUUGUUCAGGAUGCUUAAAACAAAUAGGGAUUAUUAAGAUCCUCAAAGGGAUCUUUCCAAAUUGGGUGAAUGGGCAGUAAAAUGGCAAAUGCAAUUCAGUGUAAGGAAGAGUAAAGUGAGGCACACUGGGGCAAAAUGGCCACUGGGGCAAAAGUUGGCUUUAGAAGACAACUAAACAAAUUAAUGGGAAGCGGGUGGCACUGUGGUCUAAACCACAGAGCCUAGGGCUUGCCGAUCAGAAGGUCGGCAGUUUGAAUCCCUGUGACAGGGUGAGCUCCUGUUGCUGGGUCCCUGCUCCUGCCAACCUAGCAGUUCGAAAGCACAUCAAAGAUAAAUAGGUACCGCUCCGGCGGGAAGGUAAACGGCGUUUCUGUGCACUGCUCUGGUUCGCCAGAAGCGGCUUAGUCCUGCUGGCCACAUAACCCAGAAGCUGUACACCGGCUUCCUCAGCCAAUAAAGCGAGAUGAGCGCCGCAACUCCAGAGUCGUCCACAACUGGACCUAACGGUCAGGGGUCCCUUUACCUUUACCUUAAACAAAUUAAUGGAGGAUAAGGCUGUCAAGCUACCAGUGGCUUUUAGCUGUGACAGCUAGGGUUCUACCUCAAAUGUUGGAGGCAGUAUGGCUCUGAAUACCAGUUACUGGAAAUCACAGGCGCAGAGGCUGCUCUUGCUUGUGGGUUUUGCAUGGGCAUCUGGUCGGCCACUGUGAACAGGAUGUCAGACUAAGAGGGGGCUUUGGGCCAGUUCAGCCUGGCUUUUCAUAUGGAAUCUUCACAGGAAUAAAGCCCAGGGGUUUCUGCCAAGGGGCCUGGUUUGGAUAGAUCGCUCACCAUAUUUCCAUCCCAUGCCAGUUCUUGCUUUUCCCGAAAGUGCUCCAUUUCACUCCAUUUAUGGGGAGAUCUUUUAGGAAACACGUAGAUACGUGGGAGUUGCUUUUGGAAGGAAGGUUUAUUUGAUUUUAAAACAUUCUUCUGCCCUACCUCUCCACAUUUCCUGAAGCAGCUUACAAAAACCAUCAUAAUAAGUCAUAUCACAUUAAAAAAAAAAAAAACAGCAACGGAAUCAAAUAUUAAAUCAUCAGAAGCACAAUUCAAGCAGCGCCAUUUGAUGGCUUUUAAUUAGAGCUUCCAACCAAUUCGACAACUGUAGAGGUUUAAUCAUUUGCCUUUUAAUUAAUCAAUUAAAUACAAAUUGAUCUGCAUAUUCACCAAACCCUCUGUAGGGAGGCCUUUUCAAGGUGCUGGCAGAGGUUUGACAUAACUUGCUGUUUAAUACACCCAAAGGGCCAUCCUUAAUAUUUGCUUUAUUAUUCCCUAUUGCAGUAACAUACCUGGACCAAAAUGCACUCAAAAUUAAACAGGUGUGCCCUCAGCUUGAAGCUCUGCUGAUUAAAAUGUGACCUCAAUGAUCCGCCAACAAAAACUGAAACUGCCAAUUAAAAAGCAUGCAGCCCUACGUUUGAUGACACAGAUUCAAAAAGCAAGCCUAACAAAGGCUUCCUAAAUCUCAUCAAGCACAUUGGCAAGCCUCCUCCAGUCAUUCAUUUGAGAAAUUCUCUCCUUCCCUCCAUACACAAGAGUUUACCCUUAUCAGGAAUGGACAAUUGGUUGCCAACAGAGAGGCCUUGGAUAAACUUUAUCUGGACUCCAGAAGCCCUAAUCAGUUUUAACCGAGGUGUGCUUUUAAAGUUACUCUUAGUGUAAUGUGCAAGGACAGAAUCAAUGAAACUAUUUUAUAUAUGUUUUAUUAUACUGCUAUAUCAUACACCAGGGUGGGGAACCUGUGGUCCUCCAGAUCUUGCUGGACUACAACUCCAAUCAUUCUCACCACUGGCUACGUUAGUUGGGACUGAUGGGAGUUGGCGUUCACCAACAUCUGGAGGACCACAUUUUCCCCACCCCAGUCAAACACAUUCAGGAAAAGCAAGGAACCACUGCUGGUCUGCCUUUCUUGGGUUCUCCCACCACACCCAAUAUAUCUGUUUCUCAGCCUCCCCAACCCCUACCAAUUAAUGACUCCAUGACAUCUGAGCAUGUGCUCCUCAUACCUAGUUGCAACUAAGUAAGGCCAAUUUGAUUACAGCCAGACCAUUUGUUUUGAGGUCAAAUUAUUUCAUUCUGAGGGGCCAUUCAAUUUCCCAUACACUAGUCCUAAGACAACAGAAAUAUAUUCGGGGUCAUUCAAUUUUACACACACACAUCUUGCUCAUGCUUGAUAUGCAGGUAUGAAAGCUGGUAACACAGCAAUUGAGAAAAAAACAAAACAUAAGCACAGUUUCUUACUUGCCACAGGCUUGCAGAUAUGAGAUGUGAUGAAAAAAAUUACCCUUCCUAUAUCAUAUGUUUAUCAGUAAGUUUAUACUUUAGCCCAGCUCCUCAACCUGACACUAUCCAAAUGUUUCAUACUAUAACUGCCAUCAUCCCCAGCUAUUGGCUCUGCUGACUACGGCUGAUGGGAACUGUAGUCCAAAACUUCUGGAGGGCAACCAGGUUGGGAAAGACUGGCCUACCCCCCACUUGGUCUACACCCCAAGGCCAAAAAAUAUCCCACAAAGUGGUAGUUAUUUGAGAUUCACCUCAGCCUUAGCUAAUUUACUGAGAAUUACCACAGGGCAUUUCUAAUCAGUACAGCAAAAACCUUAGUCGGAACUGGUCAUUCUGAAGAAUAGCUGCCCACCAGUGAAAGCUGACCUAUCCCAUGGCAGGUGCUGGCAGCUUGUAAAUGACUCAAUGGAGACAGUUCUUGUGAUAAUGAAUAUUUUAUCCUUAGCAUAUUUCAUUCCAGGUGCCAUUCCAGCAUCAGGAGGGCAGUUUUAUGAGGAGCCACAGAAGAUUCACCCUCUAAGGCCUACAUCAUCCUGGAUCUAGACCUGAUCUUCUCUACCCUCCUUUUCCUUGCAAGACUUGCUAUGAAUUCCGAAACACCUCAGAAAGUGCCAGAACCUUGGGGAACCAUGACUCUGGCAAAUAAUGUAAUUAAACUUCUUGUGUCACUCCUGCUCAAACACAACAAAACAAAACCUUCUUGGUCCAAACCCACACAAGAGCGGUUUUAGCAGCCUUCCGAGUUGACACAGCAAGCAAUCAAAGAUGACUGGGU